rnacentral:lncRNA from 1 species
CCGUUUCACUUUGAUGAUCCUCCUUCUCCGCAGUAGAGUGUUAACAAUUUUCAUUGUGGUUAUGAGACUGUGUGAUGAACAGGGAAGGGACACAAGGAAGCUUUGUGAGAACUCAGUUCACAGUGUUAUUUGUGACAGUUAUGAGACCAUCAUGCAGACAUCAGAGACUGGGUCAGACACAGGCUCGACAGUGACCUUACAAACUUCGGUGGCUAGUCAAGCAGCAGUGCCUACACAGGUGGUACAGCAAGUACCAGUACAACAACAGGUAAGGAGCUGCUGCUCUUAGAAAAGAUGCUGUUACUUUCAUUAUGUUGGCUGUCCAACAUACCUG